rnacentral:misc_RNA from 1 species
GUGAAUCAUCGAAUCUUUGAACGCAAAUUGCACUCCCUGGUAUUCUGGGGAGUAUGCCUGUUUGAGGGUCGUUACAAUAAAAAAUCGCUGCGUCGCUCUUUUUUUUAAGGGUGCUCGCGUCGUCAUUGAGCCGUCUUUCACAUGUUAAUUUAUGUCAAAGUGUCUUGAAAUUCAUCCCUCCGUCACGAUUGAUCC